rnacentral:lncRNA from 1 species
GCUGUCAGAACGAGUGGGAACGUAGCUGGUCGCAGAGGGCACCAGCGGCUGCAGGACUUCACCAAGGGACCCUGAGGCUCGUGAGCAGGGACCCGCGGUGCGGGUUAUGCUGGGGGCUCAGAUCACCGUAGACAACUGGACACUCAGGACCACGCCAUGGAGGAGCUGCAGGUGGGUGUUCCCUGGCAUCAGCAGUGCUCCCACCUGGAGGCUCUGGGGACCUGGUCCUAGACUCCUAUCUUCGUUGGGGGUGGAAGAGCCCCUCACAGCCCAGCCUCAGCGGCCACUUCCCACAGGAUGAUUAUGAAGACAUGAUGGAGGAGAAUCUGGAGCAGGAGGAAUAUGAAGACCCAGACAUCCCCGAGUCCCAGAUGGAGGAGCCGGCAGCUCACGACACCGAGGCAACAGCCACAGACUACCACACCACAUCACACCCGGGUACCCACAAGGUCUAUGUGGA